ACGAACGCUGGCGGCGUGCUUAACACAUGCCAGUCGAACGGAAAGGCUCCAGCUUGCUGGAGUACUCGAGUGGCGAACGGGUGAGUAACACGUGGGUAAUCUGCCCUGCACUCUGGGAUAAGCCUGGGAAACUGGGUCUAAUACUGGAUAUGACCUUUCUCCUUAUGGGGUUUGGUGGAAAGUUUUUCGGUGUAGGAUGAGCCCGCGGCCUAUCAGCUUGUUGGUGGGGUGAUGGCCUACCAAGGCGACGACGGGUAGCCGGCCUGAGAGGGUGAUCGGCCACAUUGGGACUGAGAUACGGCCCAGACUCCUACGGGAGGCAGCAGUGGGGAAUAUUGCACAAUGGGCGGAAGCCUGAUGCAGCGACGCCGCGUGAGGGAUGACGGCCUUCGGGUUGUAAACCCCUUUCAGCAGGGACGAAGCGUAAGUGACGGUACCUGCAGAAGAAGCACCGGCUAACUAUGU
rnacentral:rRNA from 1 species